GUACAGCAGUUAGGAAUUCCAUCCAUUCCUCUGGAUCAGCCUCUGAUUGCCCGAGCUUUAAAUGGAGUACAGUUAGCUCAAGUGACUCUCUUAGGUUUUCCUUGGCUGAAGCGUCACAACCCACAGCUCGACUGGAGGAGAGGAGAGAUUUCCGCCUGGCGUCCAGACUGUCAUCAGAGUUGCCUUCAGUCUGCGUUGACUCCGGUGGAUGUCGAAGCCUCUACACCUCCAGAUCAGGUGUUGCAGUGGGGCCACACCUCCAAGAUUGCCUGUCAUCCGAGAUAUAAUCGUACCCUGGAGAUUCUGCGACAGAAGUUUUGGUGGCCCACCACGGACAAGGAUGUCAGAGAAUAUGUGAAGGCCUGUACGGUUUGUUCAAGGAACAAGACGUCCAACCAAUCCAUCUCUGGACUCUUGCAACCGCUGCCUAUUCCAAAACGUCCUUGGUCUCACAUCGCAGUAGAUUUCGUCACGGGAUUGCCUCUGUCUCAAGGUAAAGCUGCUGCUGACCUUCUACAACUCAUCCAUAGAGAGCCUGUUGACGUACUGUGUUUCCACCUGGUACGGGAGCUGCACUGAGGCAGACAGAGUGAGGCUUCAGAGGACAGUCAAAGCAGCACAGAGGAUUGUUGGCUGUCCUCUCCCCUCCCUCAUGGACAUCUACCCCACCCGGUGCCUCAGCAGAGCUCAGAACAUUAUCAAGGACAGUUCACAUCCCGGUUCUCAGCUUUUUGAUCUGUUGCCCUCUGGAAGGCGCUACAGAAGCAUUAAAGCGAGGACAAACGGACUUAAAAACAGUUUCUUUCAGAGAGCCAUCACCACCCUGAACUCUCACAGGUCUCACACAAAGCC
ensembl:lncRNA